rnacentral:tRNA from 1 species
GUCUGGAUGGUCUAGUCGGUUAUGACGUCGGUCUCAUAAUCCGAAGGUCGCGAGUUCGAUUCUCGCUCUGGACA